rnacentral:lncRNA from 1 species
AUCAUGCAUUGUCCUCAAUGUAUAAGAAACAUAAAAGAACAAAGGAAACUGAGUACUCCCCUGGGUGUGGUGUGCAUGGUGUGAUCCACUUGAUCAAGGCUCAAGUAAUUGGAGAAGAGAAAAGAGUCCCAAUUGCAUUGAGCAAAAAGUGUAGCACUCCUUUCGAUUUUGUCAUAGCCCAUCCUAUUUUUUCCAUGUACUCAUGAAGUAACAUGAUUAGUUUCUCCUCUUUCAGAUGAGGUGUGCCUCUAGCCCUUAUGUUUGCAUUUUUG